CCGAGUUUACAACUCUCCAAACCCCUGUGAACAUACCUAUCGUUGCUUCGGCGGGAUCGCCCCGGUCGCCUCGCGCGCCGGAACCAGGCCCCCGCCGCAAGAAAACACCAAACUCUUGUUUUUUAUUCAGUUUUUCUUCUGAGUGGCUUCUAAAGCAAAAAAAUCAAAUUA
rnacentral:misc_RNA from 1 species